rnacentral:rRNA from 1 species
UGACUUGGUUGUAUAUUCUUCCAACGAAAUAUCAUGUGAAGUUUCAUGUUCGCCUUAUUUAAA